GAUGAACGCUAGCGGGAGGCUUAACACAUGCAAGUCGAACGGUAAGGUCCCUUCGGGGAUACACGAGUGGCGCACGGGUGAGUAACGCGUAUGCAACCUACCUUUUACAGGGGAAUAGCCCAGAGAAAUUUGGAUUAAUGUCCCAUGGUUCUGUAAUGUCGCAUGGCAUAACAGAUAAAGUUACGGCGGUAAAAGAUGGGCAUGCGUGACAUUAGCUAGUUGGCGGGGUAACGGCCCACCAAGGCUACGAUGUCUAGGGGUUCUGAGAGGAUGAUCCCCCACACUGGUACUGAGACACGGACCAGACUCCUACGGGAGGCAGCAGUGAGGAAUAUUGGUCAAUGGGCGCAAGCCUGAACCAGCCAUCCCGCGUGAAGGACGACUGCCCUAUGGGUUGUAAACUUCUUUUCUGUUCCAAGAACGUAUUCUACGUGUAGGAUAGUGACGGUAGAACAGGAAUAAGCAUCGGCUAACUCCGUGCCAGCAGCCGCGGUAAUACGGAGGAUGCGAGCGUUAUCCGGAUUCAUUGGGUUUAAAGGGUGCGUAGGCGGCGUUUUUAAGUUAUGGUGAAAUCCUGCGGCUCAACCGUAGAACUGCCAUUAAAACUGAAGAGCUUGAAUACACUUGAGGUAGGCGGAAUGAGUAGUGUAGCGGUGAAAUGCUUAGAUAUUACUCAGAACACCAAUUGCGAAGGCAGCUUACCAAAGUGAUAUUGACGCUGAGGCACGAAAGCGUGGGGAGCGAACAGGAUUAGAUACCCUGGUAGUCCACGCCGUAAACGAUGUUCACUCGCUGUUUGCGAUAUACAGUAAGCGGCCAAGCGAAAGCAUUAAGUGAACCACCUGGGGAGUACGUCGGCAACGGUGAAACUCAAAGGAAUUGACGGGGCCCGCACAAGCGGAGGAACAUGUGGUUUAAUUCGAUGAUACGCGAGGAACCUUACCUGGGCUUAAAUGUAGAUUGCAUGAGGUGGAAACACCCUUCCCUUCGGGGCUAUUUACAAGGUGCUGCAUGGUUGUCGUCAGCUCGUGCCGUGAGGUGUCGGGUUAAGUCCCAUAACGAGCGCAACCCCUAUCGUUAGUUGCCAUCAGGUUAAGCUGGGAACUCUAACGAGACUGCCACCGUAAGGUGAGAGGAAGGUGGGGAUGACGUCAAAUCAGCACGGCCCUUAUGUCCAGGGCUACACACGUGUUACAAUGGCAGGUACAAAGGGCAGCUACACCGCGAGGUGAUGCUAAUCUCUAAAGCCUGUCUCAGUUCGGAUCGAAGUCUGCAACCCGACUUCGUGAAGUUGGAUUCGCUAGUAAUCGGAUAUCAGCCAUGAUCCGGUGAAUACGUUCCCGGGCCUUGUACACACCGCCCGUCAAACCAUGGAAGCUGGGGGGACCUGAAGUCUGUCACCGCAAGGAGCGGCCUAGGGUAAAACCGGUAACUGGGGUUAA
rnacentral:rRNA from 1 species